UUUCCGUAGGUGAACCUGCGGAAGGAUCAUUAUAGAAACUUGAACCGAUGCGCCGCGGCCCUCAGGACAGGUGGAAAAGCCGUGUUGCGGGGGCGGCUGGCGCACAUGUCCAAACCAAGCACCUGUGAACCGUACGGGAUGGCCUGGGUGAGCGCACGGUGCCGUUCCGGUGUAUACAGAAACAUAAGAAAGAAUGAACUGAAGGCGGUCUGACCGCUGAAUAACAAAACAGAAACAACUUUCAACAACGGAUCUCUUGGCUCUC
rnacentral:misc_RNA from 1 species